UGGGGAAUAUUGCACAAUGGGGGAAACCCUGAUGCAGCGACGCCGCGUGAGCGAAGAAGGUUUUCGAAUCGUAAAGCUCUGUCCUAUGAGAAGAUAAUGACGGUAUCAUAGGAGGAAGCCCCGGCUAAAUACGUGCCAGCAGCCGCGGUAAUACGUAUGGGGCGAGCGUUGUCCGGAAUUAUUGGGCGUAAAGCGCGCGCAGGUGGUUUAGAAAGUCUGAUGUGAAAGCCCACGGCUCAACCGUGGAGGGUCAUUGGAAACUAAUAAACUUGAGUGCAGGAGAGAAAAGGGGAAUUCCUAGUGUAGCGGUGAAAUGCGUAGAGAUUAGGAGGAAAACCGGUGGCGAAAGCGGCUUUUUGGCCUGCAACUGACACUGAGGCGCGAAAGCGGGGGGAGCAAACAGG
rnacentral:rRNA from 1 species